GAUCAUGGCUCAGGACGAACGCUGGCGGCAUGCUUCAUACAUGCAAGUCGAACGAUAAGGUCUCUUCGGAGAUACAUAAGUGGCGGACGGGUGAGUAAUAUGUAGGAAAUCUGCCCUUGAGAGGGGGACAACGGUUGGAAACGACCGCUAAUACCCCAUAUGAGCGUACCUGAAAUGGUAUUCUUGAAAACUCCGGUGCUCAAGGAUGAGCCUGCAUCUGAUUAGCUUGUUGGCGGUGUAAUGGACCACCAAGGCGACGAUCAGUAGCUGGUUUGAGAGGAUGAUCAGCCACAAUGGGACUGAGACACGGCCCAUACUCCUACGGGAGGCAGCAGUAGGGAAUUUUGCGCAAUGGGCGAAAGCCUGACGCAGCAAUGCCGCGUGAACGUAGAAGCCCUUCGGGGUGUAAAGUUCUGUCAGUGGGGACGAAUUUUGACGGUACCCACAGAGGAAGCACCGGCUAACUCCGUGCCAGCCGCUGC
rnacentral:rRNA from 1 species